UAAGGCACACAUCUGGGACAAUGCUACGCCGAUAGGAGAGACUCUUCGUACCUUUGAUGAUCUCAUGAAGAGUGGGAAAAUACGUUACUACGGUUUCUCCAAUGUCAGUGGGUGGCAAAUGCAGAAAAUAGCUGAUACAGCAAAACAACUUAACCUGAACCCAUGUGUCAGUUUACAGCAACAAUACAAUUUACUCACGCGGGAUUCAGAGCUCGAGGCCUUUAUGGUGUGUCAGAAUGAGGGAAUAUGUGUGUUGCCGUGGAGCCCGCUCAGAGGAGGUAUGCUCACUGGGAAAUUUAAGAAGGAUCAGGAACCUGACGCGACCGGAUGUCGUGUUGGAUAUAUACACGCACAUAAAGACAUUCCAAUGUGGAAAGAGUGGGAGGAAUUGGGGAAUGAUGAAAAAUAUUGAUCACUGGUAACAGUCAUGGAAACAAUAGCUAAAGCGCAUGGUAAAACCGUUUCCCAGGUAGCUCUAAGAUGGCUCUUACAAAAGGAAGUUGUAUCUGCUGUCGUAAUCGGCUGUACAUCUAUACAGCAACUGGAAGACAAUAUGGGCGCGUCCGGAGGUUGGGAAAUCUCGGCUGAUGAGAUGAAAGAACUAGAUGCGGCUGCUCCAUUGUCAAUGUCCUACCCUUACGACUUGCUCAUUGGAGUUGCUAAUUACGGAAGAAUGCACAAGUAGAGAAAUCUGUUGAAGUGUGAAGGCCUGGAUUAUUUGUAAACAUUUUCAGACUUGUUCAUUCAAUAUCGUUAUAUUUCUUCUUGUUUGUAAAUCGGCAUAUUAGAUAGUUUUUCAUCAUUUUCAAUUUAAGUAGACCCUUUUUUGAUGAAAGAAGUGAUGCUGUACUUCAAAAUACAUGUAUUUGCAUACUUGUCCCUAAUCCUUAGCAUAUUUACAUAGAGUGUUUUACUGUACAUAUAAAUAUGUGCAAUAUAGAACAAUUAUAUGUUGGAUCUUAAUUUGCCACAUUUUAUAUUCUUCGCAUUUUCAUUUCUUUUCCAUAGAAAGAAUGUGGACGGAUAAGAAAUUUGUUAAGUUCGAUUAAUUGCCUAGUCAGACCUGCAGAGUUAUGUGCAAUUGAUGCAUCAAAAUAUAGUUAAAGUCACUAUUUUAACGCAUUGACAACUUUAACCAUUCCUCAACAUUAACCAUAUUUAGACAGAAUUUGUUUACUCAUCAAUUCAUGUCCAGGUGUGAUAUUCGCUAGAAAUGAACGAUUUUCAGCGGUUCGCACGAUUUAGGACCAUCGUGAUCUUGUUGCAUGUAUUAUGUUACAGUUGUAAGCAUAGACAAUCCAGAAAUGAGAAAAAUAAAUUGAUUUAUUGUA
rnacentral:misc_RNA from 1 species